CCGAUAUAAGGCGAGACUGCGUUCGUCUCGUUUCAUAUGAGCUAUUAAUACGACCCACCGCCCUUUCUCUUCUUCUCUGUGGUUGUGGUUUGCGUUAUCCUUCUUCGAAAUGGCGAGCAUACGGCUGAGUGCGCGACUCCUCGUCUCUUAAUCUUCCCUUGUUCGGAUCGAUCCGGUUUGGAUUUGGGUUCGGCUUUGCUCCUCGCUCUCUGUUGCUCUUUCUCUCUCUCUGGAUAUACGUGGGUGGGGAUGCACCUGCACUUGCCGCAUAAGAUCAUGGCGGGGCACGGGAGGCGGAGGGGGGAGGAGGAGGAGGGGAUCCGGAAGGGGUGGAUGGGGAUUAGGGUGGGCGGGGAGGGGGAGCAGCCGCAGCGGUUCGUGGUGCCGGUGGAGUACCUGAGCCACCCGCUCUUCGUGCGGCUACUCAAGGAGGCCGAGGAGGAGUACGGCUUCGACCACCAGGGGGCGAUCACCAUCCCCUGCCACGUCAAGUACUUCCGCCGCAUCCAGAGCAUCAUCGACCGCGACUGCAACCAGGUUGCCGCCACCGUCAAUUACCACCACCACUUUCACCUUUGCUUCAGGGCUUGAACGAGUCCCUGACUCCGGGUGGGUGUUUGUGCUGGGUUUGGAAAGUGUUAAUUCCAAGAGAAUCCUUCCCUCUCUCUCUCUCUCUCUCUCUAGUCAUUAAGACUGGUUUAACGAUGACAUGAUUUGGUGAUCAAGUCGAAGAAUAUUUCUUGCUCAUUUUAAUUUCGCAUGAGCCAAUUUCAUUCAGCAUGGUCAUAGUUGAACGUUUCACGUUGCUCCCCCACUGCAAAAGAUCAAUGUUCACAGUUGCAAUGGAACUCGUGUGGCACAUUGCAACCUAUUUUAUGACCACAGAAGGCAUCAAAGAUCCAAAUGCUCCUUUCAGUCCGGGAGACCACAUCGCUCACACAUCUGCCGAUGCGCCUAAUCCUGGCCACGGCAACAAGACAAAAGGCUGAAGCUGAUAUGUUCUUGAUGCCUCAGUACGACUGUCUCGGUUCAUUUCCGAGUCCUUAUAAACCACAUUUUACUUGAAUUAAUGGUUAGUAAAAUUUCUUCCUUUUCUGUCAUGAAAUUAUAUUCUGAUUACGACAAUUUGAGUCGGAAAUAGAUCAUGCUAGAUUUCUGGGCGUUUUUGGACAUUUCGAAUGCCAUUAGAUGAUGGUUUGGCACAUUUAACUCGUUCGAUGACAGCAACACCUCACCGGUGUGCCCACCAUGUUCCGCGAAUACCGAGCGAGCCAAUCCGGUCCAUUUCAUCGACGUGAUUUGUGGUCGUUCUCGAUCGUGCCAAAAGGGCGGGCCUAAUCGAAAUGUGGUUCGCUACCACCUCGAUCGAUCGGUUCAUUCCAGCAUACGUUUGGCAACGAUUUCGUGGAGCGAGCGGCCUACGACGGUUAUGAGCGAGGGGGGAUGACUAACAAACAGGGAAGGGAACACAAGAUAUUGAUCGGAGGAAUUCGCAGAAGCAGAAGCGGAGUGUGAUGUUGUUGGCAUCAGUAACAGGGAGCGUUAUGCAAAUGGGUGUUCGACUUGAAGCCUACUCCCUCCGUUUCAGGAGGGACACCACAUCCCUCUCAGAACCGACAACAGCACCGAGGAGGUCGACCAGAAAUGUCAGAUAGCGCUGAGACCAAAUACAUCGCGUUCUCUCUGACAAGGAACGAUUGCGACGCUGCGCUAACCUCGCCUCGCUGCUCGGCAAGGGUGACGGGGAGAGGGCGCCGAUCGUCGACGCUUUGGCUUUGGUCAGCUGUGGUUGGUGCUGUGUUGGCCGUCGAGUUGGAUUGACGCCUCGACUUGCAUGAUAGGUCGAAUCAAUUUUGCCAAGUAGAAUCACCCAACCAUGGUUGCGACAGAAUGGAGUAGGAGAUCGAUAGCAAUCAUCUACGAGAUUCCAGAGGAAAAAAGAAGCGCUCGAUUGUUACCACAAUCGAAACAUCCACCGACGUCAUUAGGAUCGACAUACUACUACUUCGAUCGAUCGACGAUAUCAAUUA